UCCAAGAGAAGCAUCUGGCUCAAUCUGUCUGCCAAAAAAACAAAGAAUAAUGGAAAAAGAAGCUUAUUUUACCAAGUGAGUAGACGAACAUUUGCCCUGAAGAUGCAUGAGAUAUGCAGAUAUAAAACUUGAAACUGGUUGCACCCUUCUUUACAUAUUGAAGUUCCGGAGGCUGAAAUGAAUACUGAUUGUUUGCUCCUUCUCCUGAGACUUCAGGCAAUGGCUAUUAACCUUGCUUCAGAUGAAAAGAGAAGAAAAGCUGUGUGCAGGAGAACAGAAAACCGCUCUCAGUGUUGGGACCUGACCUGUGUGAUCUCUGGCUUGUGCUUCUCGAGCUGUGAAUUGCUCCUGAAUGAAUGUACCUCUUACCUUCCUGUGCACGGAAAACCAAAAUAAUUGACACAUUUAAAGAACAAACAAACCCUAUGGUCCCUGGGAAAUGCCUCUGUUAAGCACUGCUGCUGAAGUCUUGCUAAGCAUGGUGGCAAUGGCAGGGAACACAAAUCCUUCCCACUGUCACACUGGGUCACUUGUCACUCCAAGCGGGAGGACAGAAAGCACCUCACCACAGCCUUGCUGCACAUGAAAAAAACAGCAAAUCAGUGCAUUGAAGAGUCUGUGUUGUCCCAGAGGGUAAAAAAGAUAAAGAUCAAAGGAGAGUCUUCUUUUUUUUUAAACCCAACUUAAAGAUGCUGAACUGUUUUGUUUUGUUUUGUUGUUGUUUUAUUUUUUUUACAGCUGUUUAUUAUUCUGAAUUAGGUUACAUUAUUUUCUCUUUAUUAUCUUCAAUAUAAAUACAGUUAGAUUUGUGUGUGUAUGAACCAUACCAGCUAUAUUGGAAAGGCUAAAAAUAUUCUAGCUUCAAAACCCAGUGCUGGCUUGGGAUUGCCUGUCUUACAGGCGUCUCUCACAGCAUAAGAACAAAUUUGUUGCCCAGCUGAAAAUAAAAUGUAAAUUUUAAAAAUCUCACCACAGCUUUUGUAAUAUAUUUCCAAGUUGUCCUCUUUGCAGACUGUGUGCGUAGGCCAUUCUGUGCUGACAUUGAUGAAAAGCAGGACUGAGAUCAGAACGAGAACGUUUGAUGUCUUCAUGGUGGUGGCAGUAGUUUGCAGGAUUACUUCUGUGUGUCUCUUGUUAGGCUCUGUGGAGGAAGGUCUUCCUUCCUUUCUCCAA